rnacentral:rRNA from 1 species
AUGUUCCGCAUCGAGCUGCAAUCCCCACCAUGGCCGCCGCGGCCAUCGCCGUCGAUCUCCACCACCGGCGCCUCCCCGACCUUCCCCGAGCUCGCCUACGUUCUCCCCGAUUGCUGCGACCAGACGUUGGAGUCCAGGAGCCAGACGCCACCGUCGACGACGACUACUACUACUCGGGAGGUGCCUACUACUACGUGCAGCCCGCUGAUGAUGACCAGAAGUAGUUUAGGAGGAUCCCAGGCAAGAGGCCUGCGCUUCUUUCGAUCUGUAUCCCAGUUUGUGUUAGCCUUCUUAAGGCAAAACUUGUUUAAUUUAUGUCUGUACUCAAAUAAUGUUGUUUCCGCUGACUCGUCUAUGAUCGAGCUCUUGUAUUCGAGCCUUCGAGGCUCCUGGCUUGUAAUAUGA